rnacentral:rRNA from 1 species
GACGAAGGGGGCUAGCGUUGUUCGGAAUUACUGGGCGUAAAGCGAGUGUAGGUGGUUGUCAUAGUCAGGUGUGAAAGCCUUGAGCUCAACUCAAGAAAUGCACUUGAUACUGGGCGACUAGAGGACCGGAGAGGAUAGUGGAAUUCCCAGUGUAGUGGUGAAAUACGUAGAGAUUGGGAAGAACACCAGUGGCGAAGGCGGCUAUCUGGACGGUUUCUGACACUAAGACUCGAAAGCGAUGGGGAGCAAACAGG